GGAAUAUUGCACAAUGGAGGAAACUCUGAUGCAGCGACGCCGCGUGAGUGAUGACGGUCUUCGGAUUGUAAAGCUCUGUUCUUAGGGAAUAAGAAAGUGAAUGUACCUAAGGAGAAAGCACCGGCUAACUUCGUGCCAGCAGCCGCGGUAAUACGAGGGGUGCAAGCGUUGUUCGGAAUCAUUGGGCGUAAAGCGGGUGUAGGUGGCCAUAUAAGUCAAGGGUGAAAGCCCAGGGCUCAACCCUGGAAGU
rnacentral:rRNA from 1 species